ACAACCCGGCGCUGCUCCACGCUUUAACCCUCUCCCUGCAGUGGAGGGACAGGUCGCAGGUCUCGGGUUUCGCCGGGAAGGGUGGAGGCCUAAGACUCGGGGCUGACGUGGACCCCCAGCUCUGCACCUUACGUCCUCUUUUUCUGUGCAAUGAAAACAGUAGUUCCUCCCUCACUGCAUCGUGGCGUUAGUUUAAACGGGCUUUCGAAGAUACUUAACGAGCUCCUAGAUGCGCCACCCUAGCGCUGAUGGCGGGAAUGGACUGAAAGGGGAAAGAGAAACGUCACCCAACAGUUUGUCUUCCUGGACACCUGCGCGGGACACUCUGAGGCUAAGGUUUUAUUUAUUUGUCGGAGAGUGAGAGAGCGUGCAUGAACAGGGGGAGCAGCAGGCAGAGGGAGAAGCAGGCAGGCCUCCUGCUGAGCUGGAAGCCCAAUGCAGGACUCGACCCCAGGACCAUGACCUGAGCCAAAGGCAGAUGCUUAACUGACUGAGCGACCCAGGUGCCCACCAAAGUGCCUUUAAACUAGCACUUACCCCAGACAUUUAGUUGUUUCCAGUUGUUCGAUAUGUAAAUGACAUGGUGACAAACAUCUUUAGUAUACAUUUUGUCUCUGUUUCUCUUUGUUUCCCUAGGCCACAAGGGAGGUAGCCCCUUGUCAAAGGAUGUGCUGAUACUGCCUUCCAGAAAGUUCAUGUCAGUUCCAUUUCUCUAGUUUGUUUUAGUUUAAUUUAGUUUCAACAUUUGGUUCAGCAUUUAGUUUAGUUUCAGCAUUUACCAGUCAUUGCCCCUAGUGAACAACCAGAAAAUGAAACUGACGUUUCUAUAGCUACUUCUUUGGGCUAGGCAUGGUACUAACUCACUCUUACAUGAUCUCAUUUAAUCUUCAUAACAAUGUCAGGAAUCUAAAAUUCAGAGAGGCACAUUCAUUUGUCCAAAGUGAUACAGCAAGCUAGGAAUGUAAGCAGCCAGAGUGUUAAACUCCUUAAAAACCUUCCAAAGGAUUCCCCUUACACUUAGAAUAAAAUCCAAACUACUCCUUAUGGCCUAUGAAUCCCUAAUGUUCUGCAUCCUGCCUCCCUCUCCCACCAUGCUCCCCUCUAGCCAUACUGGUUUUCUUUCUGUCCCUCCAGUUCUCUACCAUCCUGCCCACCACAGGGCCUUUGCCCUGCCAUUUCCCCACAUCUUUUACAUGGCUGUUGCUUUCCCACUCUGGCUCCACCUCCUCGAUGAGUUGGUCCUAAUGUCCACAGCUAACAUAACAAAAGACCCCUGUCUUUUCCAUGAUCUUGUUUUAUGUCCAUCAUGGAAGUUUAUCACUGUCAGAUUGGUCAUUGAUUUGCUUGCUGUAUUUGUCAGGAUCUUCCAGAGAAACAGAAACAACAGGGUGUGUGUGUGUGUGUGUGUGUGUGUGUGUGUGUGUGAGUAUGUAGAGAGAGAGAGAGAGAUUGAUUAACUCUAAGGAAUUCAUUCAUGCAGUUAUGGAAGUAGGCAAGUCUCAUGAUCUUCAGGGUGAAUCGACAAUCUGAAGACUCAUGAGAGUUGAUGAUUUGGUUAUAGUCCAGGUCCAAAGUGUCUGAGAACGAGGAGAGCUGAUCAUGUAAUUCCUGUCUAAAGACCAACAGGUUCAAGACUCAGGAAGUGCCAAUGUUUCGAUUCAAGUCCAAAGGCAGAAAAAAAGCUGAUAUUUCAGUUUGAAGGCAAACAGGCAAGUGUAGUUCUCCCUUAGUCAGCAAUUUUGUUUUAUUCAGGCCUUCAACGGAUUGUAUGAGGCCCACCCACAUUGAGGAGGGCCAUCUGCUUUACUUGGUCUACUGAUUUAAAUGUUAAUCUCAUCCAAACACACUCUCACAGAGAGACCCAGAAAAAUGUUCGACCAGACAUCUGGGCACCCCAUGACCCAGUCAAGUUGACACAUAAUAUUAGCCAUCACACUUAUUUAUCGUCAUCUCUCCACCUUUAGCUGCUAAGGCAGCUCCUUGAGUGUCCUGUCCCUGGCAAUUGGCACAUAGUAGGUGUGAAAUAAUAACAACUGAAUGAAUGCAUGAUAGAGCCUAGAUUCCAGCCUUGAUCCAAGCAAUUCCCCGUUAAUUUUUUUUCACAUUUAUUCUUUUUCUGUAAUAAAUGAUUUCACAUUGAUCACUGAUGAUUUACUGAAAAGAAAAUGAUGUAACAUCUAAAAUCAAAUCAGUGUCCCUGUGCAAAUGUACGAUUUGUGUGUGUGUGAUGACAAAGCCCUGGAUUGGGAAUCUGAGGGCACUACUCAGCUUCUUGGGGACCCUCAGUUCCCAGGCAACAAGUUAACACCCAUGUUGUUCUUCUCUGACCGUGUGACUGUGAGCCAACUGAAAGUCAAGUCGGCCUGCAGCAAUGCUUCAAGGUUACUGAGAGAUGAUUUCCUGCCACUGCAAAGUGGGAGGAGAAGCAGCAUCUGCAGGAGGGGUGGAGUAGCUGAAUACUUAUUAGUGAUUCAUCAGGAGCUGAUGACAUGAAUAGAAAGGGUUAGAAAAUCUCCAUUGAUCAGACUGAAGAAUAAUGACCUUCCAGUAUAUCCAAAGGGAGUAUCUAUGAUAAGCUCUGAGGCCUGCACCCACCCCUCAGUGACUGUUUUAGACAACCCAUAAUGCCUGAGUCCAGUAAACGUUGGCUUAUGCUGGGGUUUAGGGAUUCUGUAGUCAGAAGUCCCAGAGGACAAGUUAUAUAAACAGCUAAAAUACACAUGCAUGAUGUGGUAGAGUGUACACAAAUCACACUUGUGUGAAUAAAGCAGGAACACAUUUCAUGUGCAAGGACUUGGUUCUGGCAUUGCCCCGGAGGGUAUUGAUACAAUUUGUGAAGGACCUUUGACUCAGGAACCUCCAGGGAGUUCAGCCAUAAGGUUGAUUUCAUUUUUCUCUUGCAAAAAAAUGUCAUGGGGGACCUAUUAUACAUUAUGCUUUGCUUGGAAGGGACUUGAACAAGAGUUGCUGUGUUGGGGAAGGAAGGGCAUGGAGCUGGAAUGCUCAAGAGCCACAUUUAGCAUGUAAUUGCACCCCAGCCAAACAGAGGCAUCAAGAGGAGGGAGGGAAGUGGGGAGAGAGAAAGAGAGAGGAAGAGAGAAGAGGAGAAUCCUUGAAAUAAUUAAAUACUUGCUAUUUACUACCCCAAAUCACUCCAAAUAGCCAUCAUGGAGAAAAAAAAAUAGAACAUUGCUAGAUUAUAUUGUCUUGUUUUCUUAUUUUGCUUCAGACUUGGGCAAUUGAGCAAAACAUUUUGGUAAAUGAACAAGCUCAGGAGCCGUUUGGGUUGGGCUCCAGUCCCACCUGCCAUAGGUGCCAUCAGUGCCAUCGGUGCCAUAGGUAUUUAAACAUAAUUAAUUCUUUCUUAUUUUAAAAAGGAAAAUAGGGGUACCUGGGUGGCUCAGUGGAAUGGGCCUCUGCCUUUGGCUCAGGUCAUGGUCUCAGGGUCCUGGGAUUGAGCCCUGCGUCAGGCUCUCUGCUCAGUGGGGAGCCUGCUUCUCCCUCUCUCUCUGCCUGCCUCUCUGCCUACUUGUGAUCUCUGUCUGUCAAAUAAAUAAAUAAAAUCUUAAAAAAAAAAAGGAAAAGAGAAUAAACCUCUCCUUCUGACUACCACCCCCUUGGAAUUAUCUCACCCUCUCAGGAAAAUCAUUGAUAAUCCAUACAAAUUAUACAGAUGACUCCUGGAGCCCCUGAGUAGCUCUCUCGGUUAAGUGGCCAACUCUUGAUUUCGGCUCAGGUCAUAAAUUCAGGGUGGUGGAAUCGAGCCCUGUGUCUAGGCAUCUGGCUGUCUGGCUCCAUGCUCAGCACAGAGUCUUUGUCCCUCUCCCUGUCCUCCUCACCCUGCUCACUCUCUCUCUCUCAAAUAAAUAAACAAAUAAAAUCUUUUUAAAAGAUUACAUAGACCACUCUUUAAAAAGUUGCCCUUAUUCUUCCCUUGCCACUGCCCAGCCCCCUCUCCCCACCUCCACCCACGGAGUCUGCUCUGUCGAGGUCUCCACCUUUGUUCUGUGAUGACUGCAGAAACUUUUGUUUCAGUUCUCCUCUUGCUCAACCUUUAAGCCACAUUUGAAACUAAUAACUACUCCCUUCUCGGAACUCACAAAACGAAGUGGUAUAUUACUUACCUCUUGCUAUGUAAGAAUCACCCCAAACUUACUUGCUUAGAAUGACACACAUGAAGUGAGAUUUCACUUCAUGCACUUUGGGGCAGCUACUAUCAAAAAGUCCAGAGAACCCCAAAACAGAAAAACAAGUGUUGACAAGGAUGUGGAGGAAUUGAAACCCUUAUGCACUGCCAGUGGGAAUGUAAAAUGAUGCAGCUGAUGUAGAAAACAGUAUGGUGCUUCUGGAAAAAAUUAUACAGAAUUACUGUAUGAUCCAGUAAUCCCACUUCUGGGUGUCUAUCUGAAAGAAGAGAAAAUAGGAUCUUGAAGAGAUAUUUAUACACAGUGUUUGUAAUAGCAUUAUUCAUAGUCACCCAAAGGUGGAAGCAACCCAAGUAUCCACUGAUGGGUGAAUGGAUAGACAAAAAGUGGUCUAUGCAUAGAAUGGAAUAUGAUUCAGGCUUAAAGAGGAAGGAAAUGCUGAUGUACGAUGCAACACAGAUGAACCUUGAGGACAUUAUGCUACAUGAACAAAGCCAGUCACAAAAAGACAGAUGCUGGAGGCACCUGGGUGUCUUGGUGGGUUAACGGCCUGCCUUUGGCUCAGGUCAUGAUCCCAGGAUACUGGAAUUGAGCCCCGCACUGGGCUCUCUGCUCAGCCUGCUUCUCCCUCUCCCUCUGCUCCCACUAGUGCUUAUUCGCUCUCUCUCUCUAGUGU